AUAGUGAAAGUGUUGUAGUUUAAAUGGAGUGUUGAAAAUGUUCAAAUCUUGUUAGUGUCACAAUAAAGACAUUCAACACUUCCACACCCCAUUUAACACCUAACAGUGUUCACGUGUCUUAAGCUCCGCCCACGGACAUUUCAUUUAGACUCCACCCCUCACUUCACGUUGCUGAAAUGAAAAGCAGAUGGAAGAAGUUGACAAUUAGGAAUCAUUUUGCAUCAGUAGGUAAGUAAACGUUUAAAUAGAUGAACUAAUGAAUUAUGUUGUACCUUGUUUACACAUAAAAAACGUGAGUUUUUGGUGUGAUAUUUAAGACUAAUAAACUGAGGCAGCUGUUUCCACCCAAAGCCUUUGCUAAUGUUAGCUCGUGUUUUUGCUAAGUUAUAUUUUCUAUUUAGUGUUGCUGUGAGCUGAAUCGGCACUGCCUGUGCAACAUUUGGCAAAGUAAGUGAACGCUACGUUAUAUCUUCAUUUUGAAUGAGCUAAUGGCUAACUAGCUAAUUGGCACGAGGAGCCCCCACACGGAGGCCUGCUGGCCCCCAGCAAAGGACUUGAUAUGCUGUACAAGAUACAAGAUAUCAAGAAAACCUUUGCUUGAGUCUUACAUGAAUGUGAGGUGGAUGGAGAUGUCUUUGAUGAGCUUGUCAAGUCGGGUGUUUUGACUUUCAAGGUCCUUUUAUCAGUGACAGGUAAGGAUGUGAAAACAUUUGAAAAUGCAUGAGGUGGUUUAGAUAUCACAGGCAGUGUGGACCCAUCAGGUACCUUGGUUUUGUCCAAAUGAGAUAUUGUUGUCAUGAUCUUUGAGGCCUCAAAAUGUAUUUUUGGUCUCACUUUACAAUACAGUAGUUACUGAGGAACUAAUUACUAAAGCACAAGUUUACAGUAGUAGAGGAUCUAAUGAACUAAAAAGGAACCAAUGAGCAGAGUAGUUACUGAGGAACUAAAACACAUUUAAAAGUAGUUACUAAUAAACUAACAGAAGGGCCCACAAGAAAGAGGAACCCAACAGAACCAAUGGAUCAGGAUGAAUCAAGACAGGUGAGCUUUGAGUAAAUGAAUGUAAAGCGUUUAUAUGCAUGACCUUGUUUUAUUUAAGACUCCUCUUGAAUUCCCAUGAACACACUAUUUCAUUUUUUAUAUUUUUGGCAGAAAG